AUUGAACGCUGGCGGCAUGCCUUACACAUGCAAGUCGAACGGCAGCACGGGUGCUUGCACCUGGUGGCGGGUGGCGAACGGGUGAGUAAUACAUCGGAACGUACCUUAUCGUGGGGGAUAACGCAGCGAAAGCUGUGCUAAUACCGCAUACGCCCUGAGGGGGAAAGCGGGGGAUCGAAAGACCUCGCGCGAUUAGAGCGGCCGAUGCCUGAUUAGCUUGUUGGUGGGGUAAAAGCCCACCAAGGCGACGAGCAGUAGCUGGUCUGAGAGGACGAGCAGCCACACUGGGACUGAGACACGGCCCAGACUCCUAAGGGAGGCAGCAGUGGGGAAUUUUGGACAAUGGGGGCAACCCGGAUCCAGCAAUGCCGCGUGAGUGAAGAAGGCCUUCGGGUUGUAAGGCUCUUUUGUCAGGGAAGAAACACCGGCUCUAACACAGUCCGGGAAUGACGGUACCUGAAGAAUAAGCACCGGCUAACUACGUGCCAGCCGCCGCCGUAA
rnacentral:rRNA from 1 species